rnacentral:tmRNA from 1 species
GGUAGGUAGCUCGCGAGGUUGAUGACCGGUUCGUAAUAACGUUUCAGGACCCGGGGGCGGUACCCGGCGCCUCCACCAUGAGCACAACGCGGUGUGCUUCUGUUGGGGGCGAAAUAGGUUCGACUGGACGGUAAAAGGACCGCGAGUUCUAUCUCGCUUCGGCGAGAGACGAUGCGACUUUCGGUAAGGACUCGACCGGCCUGACGCAGGACACCCCUGGUUCAGGCACCUGGCCAAAACUCUAAAUGCCAACGAUAACGUUGUCAUGGAUGCCCGCCUCGCGGCGUAAGCAUCUUGCGGUAGGGUAACCGUAGAAACAGAA